UCAGGCUGACCCAGCUGGAGGGAGAGCCUCAUUCUGACUACAUCAAUGCCAACUUGGUCCCAGUAAGGGCCACCGGGCUACACCCGCCCACAGGAGUUCAUUGCCUCUCAGGGGCCUCUCAAGAAAACACUGGAGAACUUCUGGCGGCUGGUGCGGGAGCAGCAGGUCCGCAUCAUCAUCAUGCCGACCAUCAGCAUGGAGAACGGGAGGGUGCUGUGUGAGCAUUACUGGCUGACCGACUCUACCCCGGACACCCAUGGUCACAUCACCAUCCACCUCCUAGCUGAGGAGCCUGAGGAUGAGUGGACCAAGCGGGAAUUCCAGCUGCAGCACGUUGUCCAGCAACAUCAACGGAGGGUGGAGCAACUGCAGUUCACCACCUGAUCCGACCACAGCAUCCUUGAGGCUCCCAGCUCCCUGCUCGCCUUUAUGGAGCUGGGGCUGUCCCUGCGGUGUGGGCAUGGGCCGGACAGGCACCUUCGUGGCCCUGUCGAGGCUGCUGCAGCAGCUGGAGGAGGAGCAGAUGGUAGACGUGUUCCAUGCUGUGUAUGCACUCCGGAUGCACCAGCCCCUCAUGAUCCAGACCCUGAGCCAGUACGUCUUCCUGCACAGCUGCCUACUGAACAAGAUUCUGGAAGGACCCUUCAACAUCUCUGAGUCUUGGCCCAUCUCUGUGACGGACCUCCCGCAGGCGUGUGCCAAGAGGGCAGCCAGUGCCAAUGCUGGCUUCUUGAAGGAGUACGAGCUCUUGCUGUAGGCCAUCAAGGACGAGGCUGGCUUUUCCGCACCCCCGCCUGGCUAUGAGCAGGACAGCCCCGUCUCCUAUGACCGUUCUCAGGGGCAGUUUUCUCCGGUGGAGGAGAGCCCCCCUGACGACAUGCCCGAAGCCUGGCUCUUCCCUGGUGGGCCCUCUGGCCGUGAUCAUACGGUGCUGACUGGCCCCGCAGGGCCAAAGGAGCUCUGGGAGCUGGUGUGGCAGCACAGGGCUCAUGUGCUUGUCUCUCUUUGCCCACCCAAUGUCAUGGAGAAGCCAUAGGAAUUCUGGCCAACGGAGAUGCAGCCCGUAGUCACAGACAUGGUGACGGUGCACUGGGUGGCUGAGAGCAGCACAGCAGGCUGGUUCUGUACCCUCCUCAGGGUCACACAUGGGGAGAGCAGGAAGGAAAGGGAGGUGCAGAGACUGCAAUUUCCAUACCUGGAGCCUGGGCAUGAGCUGCCCGCCACCACCCUGCUGCCCUUCCUGGCUGCUGUGGGCCAGUGCUGCUCUCGGGGCAACAACAAGAAGCCGGGCACACUGCUCAGCCACUCCAAGUGUUGUUGGACAAUGGUCUUGGGGGAGUGGACAAUGGUCUUGGGGGAGCGGACACUGGAAGCCCCUCCCUGCCCUUCUGGCAUAGCCUCAGAUCUCCCUGGGCUCUGCUUGGGUUAUGGGUCAAAAGGACACAGUCUCACAAUGCCCCUGUCUUCUCCACACCCUACCCUGUCCUCAGGAAUAUGGUGGGAAUUUACCGCCUCCCUCCCUAGGUCCAGGCUGGCCGGCUGACCAAGUGUCCGGUGUCCCUUCUCAGUCCCUGCGCCCAGGUUGGGUUUUCCCACAUCCGUGGACACCCCCGCCACACCCCCUUUAGGUACCUCAUCCACCUCUAGGUCAGUUGCAGCAAGGGUGCAACCCAGCUGGGCACCUUCCUGGCCAUGGAGCAGCUGCUGCAGCAGGCAGGGUCUGAGUGCACCGUGGAUAUCUUUAACGUGGCCCUGCAGCAGUCUCAGGCCUGUGGCCUUAUGACCCCAACACUGAAGCAGUAUGUCUACCUCUACAACUGUCUGAACAGCGCGCUGGCAGACGGGCUGCCCUGAGUCAGCACUGGUCACGGUGCAGGAGAGGUUUGUGCCCUGUGGGAUGGGGACAGCAUUCCUGACACAUCCACGUGGGCCUGGGCUCCCUGGAAGGGCGGCCUCCACUGGGCCCUGUGCUGGGAAGGUACAGGGUCUUGGAAUAAAGACCUGUGGCCAAG